AACAAACGCUGGCGGCGUGCCUAACACAUGCAAGUCGUACGAGAAAGGGUCCUUCGGGGCCUGAGUAAAGUGGCGCACGGGUGAGUAACGCGUGGAUAAUCUGCCCUUCAGUUGGGAAUAACUCAUCGAAAGGUGGGCUAAUACCGAAUAAUGCUGUGAGACCUCGGUUGAUCAGCCAAAGAGAGCCUCUGCUUGCAAGCCCUCGCUGAAGGAUGAGUCCGCGUACCAUUAGCUAGUGGGUAGGGUAAUGGCCUACCAAGGCGACGAUGGUUAGCUGGUCUGAGAGGAUGAUCAGCCACACUGGAACUGAGACACGGUCCAGACUCCUACGGGAGGCAGCAGUGAGGAAUCUUGCGCAAUGGGGGCAACCCUGACGCAGCAACGCCGCGUGAGUGAGGAAAGUCUUCGGAUCGUAAAGCUCUGUCGGAUGGAAAGAACCGCAUAGGGGUAAACAGCCCCUGUGUCUGACGGUACCAUCAAAGGAAGCACCGGCUAACUCCGUGCCAGCAGCCGCCGUAACAC
rnacentral:rRNA from 1 species